rnacentral:rRNA from 1 species
CGGAUUGCAUGGGGGGAACCCUGAUCAGCCUGCCGCGUGUGUGAAGAAGGCCUUUUGGUUGUAAAGCACUUUAAGCGAGGAGGAGGCUACUUGGAUUAAUACUCUGAGAUAGUGGACGUUACUCGCAGAAUAAGCACCGGCUAACUCUGUGCCAGCAGCCGCGGUAAUACAGAGGGUGCAAGCGUUAAUCGGAUUUACUGGGCGUAAAGCGUGCGUAGGUGGCCAAUUAAGUCAAAUGUGAAAUCCCUGAGCUUAACUUAGGAAUUGCAUUCGAUACUGGUUGGCUAGAGUAUGGGAGAGGAUGGUAGAAUUCCAGGUGUAGCGGUGAAAUGCGUAGAGAUCUGGAGGAAUACCGAUGGCGAAGGCAGCCAUCUGGCCUAAUACUGACACUGAGGUACGAAAGCAUGGG